AGCCACAACCAUAUCACCCUGCAGCCGAAGACUGAUUUCUUGAAGCUAAGCAGGGCUGAGGCUGGUAAGUAGCUGGAUGGGAGACCACAUGGGAAAACUAGGUUGCUGUUGGAA
rnacentral:rRNA from 1 species